rnacentral:rRNA from 1 species
GUCUGGUUGAAUUUAAAAAUCAGUCUGACCUGCCCACUGAAACUCUUAAAGGGCCGCAGUAUCCUGACUGUGCGAAGGUAGCAUAAUAAUUUGUUUUUUAAUUGAAAACUAGAAUGAAAGGUCGGACAAAGAAUCAACUGUCUCAAUUAUUUACAUAAAAUUUGACUUUUAAGUGAGAAGGCUUAAAUUAUUUCAUAAGACGAUAAGACCCUAUAAAACUUUACAUUUUAAAACUGGUUUAUCUAUUAUUUGUUCAAAUUUAAUCCUUUUUAUUAGUGUUUCAUUGGGGCGAUGGAAGUAUAAUUUUUAACUGCUUCUUAGUUCAACAAUUAUUUUUGAUCUCAUGAACCUUAAUUUAAGAUUCUAGAAAAAGUUACUUUAGGGAUAACAGCGCUAUCUUUCUUUAGAGACCAAAUCUACAGAAAGGAUUACGACCUCGAUGUUGAAUUAAGAUAUCCUUAUAGUGCAGCAGUUAUAAGAGAAGGUCUGUUCGACCUUUAAAUUCUUACAUGAUUUGAGUUCAGACCGGCGUGAG